rnacentral:rRNA from 1 species
CUUGCAGGGUACUCGAGUGGCGAACGGGUGGGUAACACGUGGGUGAUCUGCCCUGCACUUCGGAAUAAGCUUGGGAAACUGGGUCUAAUACCGGAUAGGAACCAUCUUUAGUGUGGUGGUUGGAAAGUUUUUUCGGUGUAGGAUGAGCUCGCGGCCUAUCAGCUUGUUGGUGGGGUAAUGGCCUACCAAGGCGGCGACGGGUAGCCGGCCUGAGAGGGUGUACGGCCACAUUGGGACUGAGAUACGGCCCAG